UACGUAGGGGGCAAGCGUUGUCCGGAAUUAUUGGGCGUAAAGAGCGUGUAGGCGGUCCGGUAAGUCAGCUGUGAAAGUCAAGGGCUCAACCCUUGAAAGCCGGUUGAUACUGUCGGGCUAGAGUCCGGAAGAGGCGAGUGGAAUUCCCGGUGUAGCGGUGAAAUGCGCAGAUAUCGGGAGGAACACCAAUGGCGAAGGCAGCUCGCUGGGACGGUACUGACGCUGAGACGCGAAAGCAUGGGGAGCGAACAGG
rnacentral:rRNA from 1 species